rnacentral:rRNA from 1 species
ACUAUCGUUAACUGAAUACAUAGGUUAACGAGGCGAACCGGGGGAACUGAAACAUCUAAGUACCCCGAGGAAAAGAAAUCAACCGAGAUUCCCCCAGUAGCGGCGAGCGAACGGGGAGCAGCCCAGAGUCUGAAUCAGCUUGUGUGUUAGUGGAACGGUCUGGAAAGUCCGACGGUACAGGGUGAUAGUCCCGUACACCAAAAUGCACAGGUUGUGAACUCGAAGAGUAGGGCGGGACACGUGGUAUCCUGUCUGAAUAUGGGGGGACCAUCCUCCAAGGCUAAAUACUCCUGACUGACCGAUAGUGAACCAGUACCGUGAGGGAAAGGCGAAAAGAACCCCGGCGAGGGGAGUGAAAAAGAACCUGAAACCGUGUACGUACAAGCAGUGGGAGCACCUUCGGGUGUGACUGCGUACCUUUUGUAUAAUGGGUCAGCGACUUAUAUUCUGUAGCAAGGUUAACCGUAUAGGGGAGCCGCAGGGAAACCGAGUCUUAACUGGGCGUUAAGUUGCAGGGUAUAGACCCGAAACCCGGUGAUCUAGCCAUGGGCAGGUUGAAGGUUGGGUAACACUAACUGGAGGACCGAACCGACUAAUGUUGAAAAAUUAGCGGAUGACUUGUGGCUGGGGGUGAAAGGCCAAUCAAACCGGGAGAUAGCUGGUUCUCCCCGAAAGCUAUUUAGGUAGCGCCUCGUGAAUUCAUCUUCGGGGGUAGAGCACUGUUUCGGCUAGGGGGUCAUCCCGACUUACCAACCCGAUGCAAACUACGAAUACCGAAGAAUGUUAUCACGGGAGACACACGGCGGGUGCUAACGUCCGUCGUGAAGAGGGAAACAACCCAGACCGCCAGCUAAGGUCCCAAAGUCAUGGUUAAGUGGGAAACGAUGUGGGAAGGCACAGACAGCCAGGAUGUUGGCUUAGAAGCAGCCAUCAUUUAAAGAAAGCGUAAUAGCUCACUGGUCGAGUCGGCCUGCGCGGAAGAUGUAACGGGGCUAAACCAUGCACCGAAGCUGCGGCAGCGACACUAUGUGUUGUUGGGUAGGGGAGCGUUCUGUAAGCCUGCGAAGGUGUGCUGUGAGGCAUGCUGGAGGUAUCAGAAGUGCGAAUGCUGACAUAAGUAACGAUAAAGCGGGUGAAAAGCCCGCUCGCCGGAAGACCAAGGGUUCCUGUCCAACGUUAAUCGGGGCAGGGUGAGUCGACCCCUAAGGCGAGGCCGAAAGGCGUAGUCGAUGGGAAACAGGUUAAUAUUCCUGUACUUGGUGUUACUGCGAAGGGGGGACGGAGAAGGCUAUGUUAGCCGGGCGACGGUUGUCCCGGUUUAAGCAUGUAGGCUGAUUAUCCAGGCAAAUCCGGAUAAUCAAGGCUGAGGUGUGAUGACGAGGCACUACGGUGCUGAAGUAACAAAUGCCCUGCUUCCAGGAAAAGCCUCUAAGCAUCAGGUAACAUCAAAUCGUACCCCAAACCGACACAGGUGGUCAGGUAGAGAAUACCAAGGCGCUUGAGAGAACUCGGGUGAAGGAACUAGGCAAAAUGGUGCCGUAACUUCGGGAGAAGGCACGCUGGUGUGUAGGUGAAGCCCCUGCGGGUGGAGCUGAGACCAGUCGAAGAUACCAGCUGGCUGCAACUGUUUAUUAAAAACACAGCACUGUGCAAACACGAAAGUGGACGUAUACGGUGUGACGCCUGCCCGGUGCCGGAAGGUUAAUUGAUGGGGUUAUCCGUAAGGAGAAGCUCUUGAUCGAAGCCCCGGUAAACGGCGGCCGUAACUAUAACGGUCCUAAGGUAGCGAAAUUCCUUGUCGGGUAAGUUCCGACCUGCACGAAUGGCGUAAUGAUGGCCAGGCUGUCUCCACCCGAGACUCAGUGAAAUUGAACUCGCUGUGAAGAUGCAGUGUACCCGCGGCAAGACGGAAAGACCCCGUGAACCUUUACUAUAGCUUGACACUGAACAUUGAGCCUUGAUGUGUAGGAUAGGUGGGAGGCUUUGAAGCGUGGACGCCAGUCUGCGUGGAGCCAACCUUGAAAUACCACCCUUUAAUGUUUGAUGUUCUAACGUUGGCCCCUGACCGGGGUUGCGGACAGUGUCUGGUGGGUAGUUUGACUGGGGCGGUCUCCUCCCAAAGCGUAACGGAGGAGCACGAAGGUUAGCUAAUCCUGGUCGGACAUCAGGAGGUUAGUGCAAUGGCAUAAGCUAGCUUGACUGCGAGCGUGACGGCGCGAGCAGGUGCGAAAGCAGGUCAUAGUGAUCCGGUGGUUCUGAAUGGAAGGGCCAUCGCUCAACGGAUAAAAGGUACUCCGGGGAUAACAGGCUGAUACCGCCCAAGAGUUCAUAUCGACGGCGGUGUUUGGCACCUCGAUGUCGGCUCAUCACAUCCUGGGGCUGAAGUAGGUCCCAAGGGUAUGGCUGUUCGCCAUUUAAAGUGGUACGCGAGCUGGGUUUAGAACGUCGUGAGACAGUUCGGUCCCUAUCUGCCGUGGGCGCUGGAGAAUUGAGGGGGGCUGCUCCUAGUACGAGAGGACCGGAGUGGACGCAUCACUGGUGUUCGGGUUGUCAUGCCAAUGGCACUGCCCGGUAGCUAAAUGCGGAAGAGAUAAGUGCUGAAAGCAUCUAAGCACGAAACUUGCCCCGAGAUGAGUUCUCCCUGAGACUUUAAGUCUCCUGAAGGAACGUUGAAGACGACGACGUUGAUAGGCCGGGUGUGUAAGCGCAGCGAUGCGUUGAGCUAACCGGUACUAAUGAACCGUGAGGCUUAACC